UAACGCGUAUGUAAUUUGCCUUAAACUGGGGAAUAGCCCGAAGAAAUUUGGAUUAAUGCCCCAUAGUAUUGUCUAGAGGCAUCUUUAGACACUUAAAGACUUCGGUCGGUUUAAGAUAAACAUGCGUCCUAUUAGCUUGAUGGUGUGGUAAUGGCACACCAUGGCUACGAUAGGUAGGGGUUUUGAGAGGAAGAUCCCCCACACUGGUACUGAGACACGGACCAGACUCC
rnacentral:rRNA from 1 species